CAGCCGUAAACUAUGCGCGUUAGGUGUAUCGGUGACCACGAGUUACCGAGGUGCCGAAGGGAAACCGUGAAACGUGCCGCCUGGGAAGUACGGUCGCAAGGCUGAAAUUUAAAGGAAUUGGCGGGGGAGCACCACAACGGGUGGAGCCUGCGGUUUAAUUGGACUCAACGCCGGGAAGCUCACCGGAUAAGACAGCGGAAUGAUUGCCGGGCUGAAGACUCUGCAUGACUAGCUGAGAGGUGGUGCAUGGCGUCAGUGACU
rnacentral:rRNA from 1 species